rnacentral:misc_RNA from 1 species
UACGAAGGGGGCUAGCGUUGUUCGGAAUCACUGGGCGUAAAGCGCACGUAGGCGGCAUGGCAAGUCAGAGGUGAAAGGCCCGGGCUCAACCUGGGAACGGCCUUUGAUACUGUCAUGCUUGAGUUCGGAAGAGGGUAGUGGAAUUCCAAGUGUAGAGGUGAAAUUCGUAGAUAUUUGGAAGAACACCGGUGGCGAAGGCGGCUACCUGGUCCGAUACUGACGCUGAGGUGCGAAAGCGUGGGUAGCAAACAGG